AGAGUUUGAUCAUGGCUCAGGAUGAACGCUAGCGGCAGGCCUAACACAUGCAAGUCGAGGGGUAGAAGGAGCUUGCUCCUUUGAGACCGGCGCACGGGUGCGUAACGCGUAUGCAAUCUACCUUUUACAGGGGGAUAGCCCAGAGAAAUUUGGAUUAAUACCUCAUAGUAUAUUGAAAUGGCAUCAUUUUAAUAUUAAAGUUCCAACGGUAAAGGAUGAGCAUGCGUCCCAUUAGUUAGUUGGUAAGGUAACGGCUUACCAAGACAAUGAUGGGUAGGGGUCCUGAGAGGGAGAUCCCCCACACUGGUACUGAGACACGGACCAGACUCCUACGGGAGGCAGCAGUGAGGAAUAUUGGGCAAUGGAGGCAACUCUGACCCAGCCAUGCCGCGUGCAGGAAGACGGUCCUAUGGAUUGUAAACUGCUUUUAUACGGGAAGAAACACCACUACGUGUAGUGACUUGACGGUACCGUAAGAAUAAGGAUCGGCUAACUCCGUGCCAGCAGCCGCGGUAAUACGGAGGAUCCAAGCGUUAUCCGGAAUCAUUGGGUUUAAAGGGUCCGUAGGCGGCCUUAUAAGUCAGUGGUGAAAUCUCCUAGCUCAACUAGGAAACUGCCAUUGAUACUGUAGGGCUUGAAUUAUUAGGAAGUAACUAGAAUAUGUAGUGUAGCGGUGAAAUGCUUAGAUAUUACAUGGAAUACCAAUUGCGAAGGCAGGUUACUACUAAUGGAUUGACGCUGAUGGACGAAAGCGUGGGGAGCGAACAGGAUUAGAUACCCUGGUAGUCCACGCCGUAAACGAUGGAUACUAGCUGUUGGGAGCGAUCUCAGUGGCUAAGCGAAAGUGAU
rnacentral:rRNA from 1 species